GACGAACGCUGGCGGCGUGCUUAACACAUGCAAGUCGAACGGAAAGGCCCUGCUUGCAGGGUACUCGAGUGGCGAACGGGUGAGUAACACGUGGGUGAUCUGCCCUGCACUUCGGGAUAAGCCUGGGAAACUGGGUCUAAUACCGGCUAGGAGCCAUUUUUAGUGUGAUGGUUGGAAAGUUUUUUCGGUGUAGGAUGAGCUCACGGCCUAUCAGCUUGUUGGUGGGGUAAUGGCCUACCAAGGCGGCGACGGGUAGCCGGCCUGAGAGGGUGGACGGCCACAUUGGGACUGAGAGACGGCCCAGACUCCUACGGGAGGCAGCAGUGGGGAAUAUUGCACAAUGGGCGCAAGCCUGAUGCAGCGACGCCGCGUGGGGGAUGACGGCCUUCGGGUUGUAAACUCCUUUCGCUAGGGACGAAGCUUUUGUGACGGUACCUAGAUAAGAAGCACCGGCUAACUACG
rnacentral:rRNA from 1 species